CCUGCAUGAGGACGGCACAGAUCAAGGUCUGGAUCGCCGUCGAGGCGAGCGAACCGUUUAGAUAAUAGGUUGCAACGGCAAAUGCCGCCAAGGCGCCGAUCAUGCUUACAAAAACACGCGGUGCAAACAUGGCGCUACCCUGCCUUCGGGUCUGCGAU
rnacentral:sRNA from 1 species